rnacentral:rRNA from 1 species
UACGUAGGGACCAAGCGUUGUUCGGAUUUACUGGCGUAAAGGGCGCGUAGGCGGCAAUUCAAGUCAUCUGUGAAAUCUCCGGGCUUAACCCGGAACGGUCAGAUGAUACUGCUUUGCUAGAGUGGCGGAAGGGGCAAUCGGAAUUCUUGGUGUAGCGGUGAAAUGCGUAGAUAUCAAGAGGAACACCUGAGGUGAAGACGGGUUGCUGGGCCGACACUGACGCUGACAGCGCGAAGCCAGGGAGCAAACGGG